rnacentral:rRNA from 1 species
CCUACGGGAGGCAGCAGUGAGGAAUAUUGGUCAAUGGACGCAAGCCUGAACCAGCCAUGCCGCGUGCAGGAAGACGGCUCUAUGAGUUGUAAACCGCUUUUGUACGAGGGUAAACGCAGAUACGCGUACCUGUCUGAAUGUAUCGUACGAAUAAGGAUCGGCUAACUCCGUGCCAGCAGCCGCGGUAAUACGGAGGAUUCAAGCGUUAUCCGGAUUUAUUGGGUUUAAAGGGUGCGUAGGCGGUCGGAUAAGUUAGAGGUGAAAUCCCGAGGCUCAACUUCGGAAUUGCCUCUGAUACUGUUCGGCUAGAGAGUAGUUGCGGUAGGCGGAAUGUAUGGUGUAGCGGUGAAAUGCUUAGAGAUCAUACAGAACACCGAUUGCGAAGGCAGCUUACCAAGCUACUUCUGACGUUGAGGCACGAAAGCGUGGGGAGCAAACAGGAUUAGAUACCCCUGUAGUC